UAUACUAUAUACUACUAUAUAGUCCAUGCUGGGAGUUGUAGUUUUCCUUUGGGGCAGCUGCUGAACCAUAGGCUGUAUCAGGGCAUGCUGGGAGUUGUAGUUUUGCAACAUCUGGAGGUCCGCAGGUUGAAGACCACAGGUCUGGUGGGUAUUAAAGGGGGUCUGGUGAGGUUUGAGGUGAUAAAGGAGGAUGUUGGGUCUGGUAGGUAUUACAGGGCAGUGUAGGGGUCUAGGGGGUAUAACAGAAGGUCUGGUGAGGUUUAGGGUCAUACAGGAAGAUGGAGGGUAUUACAGGGGUCUGGCGAUAUUUGGGAUCAUACAGGGAGAUGUUGGGUCUGGUGGGUAUUACAGGGGGUCUGAUGAGGUUUGGGGUGAUACAGGAGGAUGCUGGGUCUGGAAGGUAUUACAGGACAGUGUAGGGGUCUGGUGGGUAUUAAAGGGGGUCUGGUGAGGUUUGGGGUCAUAGUGUGGGAUGUUGGUGUCUGGUAAGUAUUACAGGGGGGUCUGGUGAAGUUUGGGGUCAUACAGGGGGAUGUUGGGGCUGGUAGAUAUUACAAGGGGGUCUGAUGGGUAUUGCAGGCAGGUCUGGUAAGGUUUGGAGUCAUACAGUGGGAUGUUGGGUCUGGUAAGUAUUACAGGGGGUCUGGUGAGGUUUGGGGUCAUACAGGGGAUGUUGGGUCUGAUGGGUAUUACAGGGGGUCUGGUGAUGUUUGGGAUCAUACAAGGGGAUGUUGGGGAUGGUAGGUAUUGCAGGGGGUGUGGUGAUAUUUGGGAUCAUACAAGGGGAUGUUGGGGGAUGGUAGGUAUUACAGGGGGUCUGGUGAUGUUUGGGGUCAUACAGGGAGAUGUUGGGUCUGAUGGGUAUUACAGGGGGUCUGGUGAGGUUUGGGAUCAUACAGGGGGAUGUUGGGGGAUGAUAGGUAUUACAGGGGGUCUGGUAAGGUUUGGAGUCAAACAGUGGGAUGUUUGGUCAGGUAAGUAUCACAGGGGGUCUGAUGAAGUUUGGGAUCAUACAAGGGGAUGGCAGGUAUUACAGGGGGUUUGGGGUCAUAUACAGGAUGAUAUCGGGGUCUCCUUGUUAUUACGGGGGUCCGGGCUCAU